CCAAGCCUAUUUCGCUGACUUGAUUAUUAUUAGUUCCCUUGAAGAUCGAAACUAUAUGUCUCAAAGAUUGCAAAGACUAUUUCGCUGCCUUUGCAAUCCUUGUCUAAAUUCACUUGUUCGAAUAUCAAAGUUCCACUUUCAUUUUAUGAAUUGAUAUUUGAGAUGAUGGAUGAAAAAUUAUCAAACCCUCCAUUUUUGUUUCCACAGUUUGAUAAUGGUUGAUCCAUGUUUAAGCGGUGAAUUUAGAUAAGAAAUUAGGGUUACAUAAGAUUAAGGCUUAGAGCUUGGUUUGAUUAGGAUUAGGUCAUUUAGACUUAUCCAACAAUCCCAAGACAAGGAGAAGUCUACUCACUCAUGUUCAUCGUAGACAUGGGGGAGAAGAGAGAAAGCAUAAAAGUAAAUGACAAGAAAAUAAAGGAAAAGAAAAGAACUUUAAUUAGAAAAGCAAUUGUCACUUCUUGAAUUCCAAGUAAAGAUGAAUAUUUGUGAUGGCUAGCUACUCUAUUUAUAGCAUACAUUCGACUUAAAAUCUAAGCAAUUACAUUACUGGAAUGUUCCAUAAGAAACUGCGAGCUAAAAUAGAGUAGCUUAAAAUCUAAGCAAAAGCAGUGAAAGUGACUCUAGAGGGUGGCACGGCCGUGCCAAUGCUAGCACGGGCCGUGCCAAGCUUCUGACUUUGGGGAGACAUAUUUUUGUCUCUCAAUCUUUGUAUUUUUGCAUUGAAUCAGCUCCAAGUCCCUUUCUUUUGCUCCAAGAUUCAAUCCAUCCAAUAUUCUUUCCUGAAAUAAAAUAGAAUGCAAUUUGUAGUAAACUAUCCUAAAAAGGAAAUAAUACUAAUAUCAAAUAAAAUAAAAUCUAAUUAAAAUUAAACUAAAUAACAUAUAAAAAUAGGUAAUAAAUGACUCAUCAAACUCCCCCACACUUGAAUCUUUGCUUGUCCUCAAGCAAAAGGCAUAGACAUGGCAGCAACAAAAGGAUUAAUAUAUGACAAUUGAAAUAAAAUCUUAUGUCUCUUUCAAGGUUUCAUUUCAAUGUACACUAAUCACAACUUCAAGUAUUCCUUGUGAACUUUAUUCAACCCAACAACAAGUCUUAAGUGAGUGUGUGUGUGUAGUCCAACCAUUUUCUUGCUCCUGUAUAAGAUAGAUAUUAUGAGGAAGAGGUUCUAACCUUAACACUAAAGUGACCGAGAAAAAUCCUUUCUUCAUUUCAUAUAAGAGAGAUGGGAGUUACUUAGAUAGAUUUGGCAAUUUAGAUACUUGGGGGCUUGUAGAUGCCUAGGGGCUAUCAUUUCACAUUGGAAGUCCGCGAGCGGGUAUCCUUUCCUCCAAGUUUCCAUGAUCACCCUAAGUAGUGCUACAACUUUAUUCAUCUUCACUUAGGAAGUUCCUCUUUUUUAGAGGGUUUUAUUCGAGCACAAUUUGUUUUGAGAAGUCAUCACCACAUUUAGGAAGUCAGUGAGAGAGUAUCCUUUCCUCCACGUGUUGGUGAUAUUCUUCUGCCCCAUUUUGGUUUACACAUUAUAGCACAUUAGAAUUAUUCCCACACAAACUUAUACUACUUUUACUCUGAAGAUUUUUUAGGGUCCAAGUUACCAUUAAAGUUAGAACGUGUUCCUUAAAAUACCUAUUCAUACACUUACUCAAGGAUUGCAACUAGGUGCUUUUCUCAUUGGAGAAUUUUCACAAUAAAACUUGAUGUGGGUAUAGCAGAACACUUACAACACAAGAAAUCACUUUCAUGUACAAGAAACGACCAUUGAAGAGACAAAAAAUUUAUGUCAUAAUAAAAUAAUAAAAACAAGCUGCUUAUUCAUGCCUUUUACAAUAAAACGAAACAAAAGAAUAAAGUUCAAGGGAGUUUGGAAACACUACGACUAAAGACACUUUAUUAGGCUCCCCCCACACUUAGGAGAAGCAUUGUCAUCAAUGAUUCAAAAUAGAAGAAAGAGGGGAAGGAGAAGAAGUAGUGAGAUAGAGAUUGAAGAGAUAAGGUGAAAGAGAGGAAGAGGAAAGCUCACAUUUUUAUUGAGGUCCAUAGGGAGGACCUUGGAGGUGGAAGUGUUGCAUCAUGUGCCGAAGCAUUUGGUUAUUCUCUUCGGAUAUGCGGUUGCCCCUUAGGACGUCAUUUCUUAGCCCGGAUAAUUCAACACCUUGCCUUUGUUGCUCGGUGCUUAUCCUUUGUACCUCAGUUUGCAUCCAUGCCCAUCUUUCAUUGUCGGCAUUAUGGUCAUGGGGUUCCUCUUCAUGGUGCACGUUUGCACCUUCCUCUUCACCUUGAUUAUGCUCUUCAUGUACCUGUAAUCCAUCACCAACAUACAACAAAUUUGCCUCCACCUCGGUGUUAGUCCGAGAUGGGUUAGGAAAUAGAAACAAAAGAGGUAUACGAAGUUGAAGUGCAUAGGUCAUGGUGGGUGAAUCUUAAUGAAAUUCAUAGCAACAAGGGUUUCAAUAUUAAGCCUAUUGUUGCCCUCAAUUGGAUUUAUCCCCUCUUCCUCACCCACUCCAAACUUCCUAGCGAUGAAGGUAAUGAUACCACCAACUACUAUCUCAGCUCUAUUAUCAGGUCUAGCACCUAUGGAGGAAAGGUAAUCAAGUAGGUAAAAGCAAGUAUGAACGGGGUUGUUACUAAGCAUUGCCCAAAGCAUAAAGAGUUCAUCCGUCCUAGUUGUUCCUACCUCUUUUUUCUACCCCAAAAUGGUACAAGCCAUGACUCUUUGGAGGUAUCUAAGCACUGGGUUGUGAAUGUUACUAGCCUUAUUGUUGCGAGGAUUAUAUUGCCUUAACCCGGUAAUGCGUUUCCAAAAGAGUGUGGGGUCAUAGUCUUCCGACUUUAGAUUUGGAUUCCAAGAGUCAUGGAUGAACCCCGCAUUUGCGAAGUCCAUCUCUAAACAAAAAUUUUCAAGAGACAUCUCGUAAUCCAUAUUCAAAAGUCGGAAGGAGACUCUAUGGUCGGGGUUAUCAAAGUUCACUUUAUCCUUCGUAAAUUCAAUAGAACUUAAGAAUUCGUAAGUAAAAUUUUCAAAACCUUUCAUAGGUCUAAGCAUAUCAACCCAUCCUAACUUUCCUAGUAAGCUAAACACAUUAUCCCUUAGUCCUAGUACACUCAAAGUAUAAGAAUCGGGAUAUCGACAAGGGUGCAAAAGUUUAGAGAUAAGAGUCUUAUACCUGUCCCUUUGCUUGGUGUCUUUGAAGAUUAUGCCAUGAUGCUUGGCUUGCGUUUUCUUCUUUGAUUGUGGUCCUCCGGAAGAGCUUGCUCCACCUUUCCUAGAUGCCAUAAUCCUUAACCUUGGUUUGACCUUUUGUGAUGGUGGUAAAGGUUGGUUUAGUGAUGGGGUUAAGGGUUAAGUGAGUUUUAAGAGUUGGGUUGUGGAGUUUGGUGAUGAAUUUGUGGGUUUUGGGUUAGGUUAAUGGGGGUGACGAAUUUGGGUGAUUUUGGUUUGGAUGGAUGAAAGUUGUUUUUCAAUGGUGUGUUAUGAUUGGAAUGGUGUUUGUGAUUGAUGGGGUAAAGAAAUGGUGUGAAUUGGUGAAGUUUUGAGGGAGAUAUGGAGUUUUCAGGUUUUGUGGUUAUAGAGGUUUUAGAGAAAAAUGGAAGGAUGAGAGAUGUUUGUGGUUGAGAAUGGGGGAUGAAGAAGAUGAAAGGUGAGGUAAAACUAUACCUGGAGUCGAGCACGGCCGUGCCAGCCUUAGCACGGGCCGUGCCAACUCCCUGGAUUGUGGAAUGGUUUUUGGAAGGCAAGGUCUGGCACGGCCGUGCCAGUGUGAGCACGGGCCGUGCCAAGGUUCUGGAUAAAUUGACUUCAAAAUUUUCCGUUUUCUCGAAUCAUGCUCGGACAAUUACCUACAAAACAAUUAAAAACAAAACAACAAAACAAAACAAAAGCAGUUAAAUGCGUGGGUUGCCUCCCACGAAGCGCUUCUUUAUAGUCAUUAGCUUGACGUUUUAAGAAAGUGUCCUUAGAAGGGAUCAAAGAGGUCAUAUUGUGUAGAUGACGCUAAUGAGCGUUCUUUCACAUCAUGACCUUUAAUCAUGUUACAAGAAUAGAGAGCGGGACCUUUCAUAAAAUUCUCUAACUCAAACCCUAUCAGCUCAUCACUUACUUGAAAAACAAUCCUACCAUUCUGAACAUCUACUAUAGCACCCGCAGUGGCGAGAAAGGUCCGUCCUAAAAUUAUAGGGCACUCGUUGUCCUCAUCUAUGUCAAGCACCAUGAAAUCAGUUGGGAUGUAUAUCCCUUCUAUUUUAACGGGGAUGUCCUCAACAUAUCCGACAGGUUGGAUAUCAGAACGAUCGGCUAACUUUAAUGUUGUUUCGGUAGGCUUUAACUCUCCCAUCCCCAGCCUUUUAAAGAGGGGUAAGGGCAACAAACUAACACUAGCUCCUAAAUGACAUAAGGCUCGGUUUAAGGUUUCACUCCCUAUCACACAAGGGAUGGCAAAACUUCCUGGAUCUCUAAGCUUUGGAGGUGGCUUCUUGAUGAUUGCACUUUUUUCUCUUGUGAAAGCUAUUAUCUCAUUUUUCUCUAUAGCCUUCUUCUUUGAAAAAAUGUCUUUUAAAAACUUGGCAUAUAGAGGCAUACGAGACAAAGCUUCAGCAAAGGGAAUCUGAACGCAAAUCUUUUUAAGUAUGUUUAAGAAUUUAUUAAAUCGAGCCUCCAAGUUAAGCUUAACGAGCCUUAAUGGGGAAAGGGCUUUGUUCUUGUCAAGUGGUUUCUUUAUCGCAUCCUUCUCACCUAGAAGCUUAACAUUCUCUCCCUUGACACUUUUGGCUUUAGCAACGGUCUCUUCUAACUUACUACCCCCAAGAGAAAUAGCAUUGACAUGAGCUUUGGGGUUUAUUUCAGGUCGACUGGGAAAGACUCCUGGUGUUUGAGAAGAGGUGGCCACUUGUUGGGCCACUUGGGAGAUUUGGGUUUCGAGCAUUUUGGUGUGUGUGGCGAUAGAAUCAACCUUGGUGGUGAGUUUGGAUAGAGAGUCGUUCAGAAAUCCUGUUUGGUUUUUUAGUUCUUGAAGUUGUUUAUUUUGAUUCAUCAUGCAAUUUUCCAACAAAAUUUCCAAACUUGAUUUCUGAGCCACCCUCUGGUUGUUUGUAUAGCCAGGUGGUGCUACUUGUCCAUAGGAACCUUGAGGGUUUUUGUAAAAGUUUUGAUUUGGCCUCGUUCCUUGGUUGUAUUGAGCAUAGUUCAAUUGCUCAAUACUAUUAGUAGCACUACCUAACUGACAAUCAACACCGAUAUGACCAAAUAUACCACAGAUUUCACAAGGAGGAGAUGUAGGAGAAGGUGUGACAGCAUUAACAUUAAGUUUUUCAAAUUUUUGAGUUAAGGCAUCAACCUUAGAAGCAAGGUGAUCAUAAUCAGAGACCUCGUACAUACCUGCCUCCUUUUUGGAGGGUGUGGAAGCGGUGAUGGCUCUUUCGUUGGUCCAUUGGUAGUGAUUCUGAGCCAUGUCUUCAAUCAAAGCAUAAGCCUCCGUGUAGUUCUUAUUCAUUAGUGCUCCACCUGCAGCUGCAUCAACAGACAUCUUAGUGGUAUAUGUUAAGCCAUUAUAAAAAGUGUGGACUAUGAGCCACUUUUCCAAACCAUGGUGGGGACAAAGUCUAACCAUUUCCUUGAAACGCUCCCACGCAUCAUAGAGAGACUCCCCAUCUUUUUGGUUGAACCGCAUGAUUUGGUCUCUUAGUUUGGCGGUUUUAGAAGGGGGAAAGAAUCGGGCAAGGAAUGCUCGCCUCAUUUGAUCCCAUGAAGUGAUGGAACCGACUUCUAGGGAAUGGAACCAAGCGCUAGCUCUAUCCCUUAAGGAAAAGGGAAAGAGAUGAAGUCUUAUGGCUUCUUGGUUCUCUUUUAUAGUGCCACUGAGUCUAAGGAAGGAAGAAAUAUGGAGAUUUGGAUCCUCAGUGGGUGAUCCAGAAAACUGAUUUUGCUGCACCAAAUUGAGUAGUGCAGGCUUGAUCUCGAAGUUGUUACCCUCAACCGUUGGGUACACGAUAAUAGCUUGUGGCUCCUCCGUUGAAGGAGUUGCAUACUCUUUGAGAGUGCGUUCAGCCAUAGCAGUAUUAUUUUGUGCCUCUCUCUUUUUCUUAUGCUAAUAUCUUUCGAUCUCAGGGAUAAAUUCUCCGAGACUUUUACUUCUUCGCAUAAGAAAUCGAGAACCCAAGAAGUUAAUGGUAAUACAAAGAAAGAAAGAAGUAGAAGAAAAGAGGGAGAAGAAGGAGUUCUAAUCAAAAAGAAAGAGUUAAUUAAAUUAGUUUACUCCCCGGCAGCGGCGCCAAAAACUUGAUGGGAUAAAACCGCAAGUGUACGGUCUUACCGAAGUAGUAUGAAAAUAGUAUCGUUCCGACAGGGAGUAGUUUAAUUCAAUUAACCUUUGAUGAUGAUUAGAGGAGAAAAGAGUUGUAAGUUGGGGUUUUCAAGCGAUUGAAAAGUAAUAAUAUAAAAGGAGCCUUGGGAUCGUCGGUUCAUCCAAAUGACAAGUCCUUCCCAAACCAAACUAUAAGCUUAUAACGUUAUGUUAGACCUAAUUUCUCAAGACAGUUUCUCUUUUGUUCCUUUAGCAACCAAGCCUAUUUCGCUGACUUGAUUACUAUUAGAUUUUGGUUCCUCUAACAACCAAGCCUAUUUCGCUGACUUGAUUAUUAUUAGUUCCCUUGAAGAUCGAAACUAUAUGUCUCAAAGAUUGCAAAGACUAUUUCGCUGCCUUUGCAAUCCUUGUCUAAAUUCACUUGUUCGAAUGUCAAAGCUCCACUUUCGUUUUAUGAAUUGAUAUUUGAGAUGAUGGAUGAACAAUUAUCAAACCCUCCACUUUCGUUUCCACAGUUUGAUAAUGGUU
rnacentral:lncRNA from 1 species